AGGGAGUUUGAUCCUGGCUCAGAGUGAACGUUGGCGGCGUGGAUUAGGCAUGCAAGUCGAGCGAUCGUAGCAAUACGGGAGCGGCAAACGGGGUAGGAAUACAUCGGAACGUACCUUUUGGUUGAGAAUAGCGUUGGGAAACUGACGGUAAUACUCAAUAAAGUCGAGAGACCAAAGGUUUACUGCCGGAAGAGCGGCCGAUGCGAUAUUAGGUAGUUGGUGGGGUAAUGGCCUACCAAGCCUGAGAUGUCUAGGGGGUGUGAGAGCAUGGCCCCCACCACUGGGACUGAGAUACUGCCCAGACACCUACGGGUGGCUGCAGUCGAGGAUCUUCGUCAAUGGGCGAAAGCCUGAACGAGCGACGCCGCGUGCGGGAUGAAGGCCCUUGGGUUGUAAACCGCUGUCAGGGGGGAUGAAACCGUAAGGUUGACAGAGCCCCAGAGGAAGCACGGGCUAAGUUCGUG
rnacentral:rRNA from 1 species